AGUGCAUGGGGGUGGUUUGGGGGAGAGCUAGCAGCUGGAGGGGGUUGGUUUGGAGGGAUGACAAGUAGGUUUACAGCGAUAGGGGAUAACCUGGGGGGAUUGGUUGAGGGGAGAAGGGGUGCCUAGGAGUAACAAUAUCACCAGCCAACUCCAACCGUUUAAAAGUCACAAGCUGGGUGCCUGAAAAUUGUGAGAUGUCUAAAAAAAAAUAUUAGGGUCUUUAUUUGCCUUCUGAUUGUUUUAAUGAGUCCUAUUUUAAGCAGAGCUGAGAUUCUCUUGCAAUCACAGGACUCCAGGAGCUAGGGCUUUAAGGAAACCACCAAGUAGCACAAAACUCCUGAUAAAUGAUGGAGAAAGAAAUCCAGAGAGUUUUUAAAAAAAAUAUUUUCCUGCUUAGAAAUAUCAAGAGUGAAAUCCUGACCCUGUUGAAGUUAGUGGGAGCUUUGCCAUGGAAAUGGGGACAGGAAUUCACCCUAAGAAUAUAAAGUCUGGUGUUCAUUGGUGACAUUUAUCUCGGCCGCAAUGCCUCAAAAAAAAAAUGACAGUGGCCAGGCAUCAGCAAUCUUGACUCUUAUCAAGGUGGGAUCCAUAUCUAAGUUAUGGACAUGCCAGCAGAUAGCAUUAGGUGAUUGGUAUUUGUUGCCUCUUUCUGGAGAUUCAUAAAACCACUGAAAGGCAGAGGAAGAUGGAAAACCAAAGGCUGCUCUUGCAUUUCUCUGUCCAUUGGAAGCAGCAAACGUCUCCUUUUUACUGUGGGGCAGCCACCAGGCAGAGAGGACAAAAUGUGAGGUUUACAUUCUGAAAGACUGGAUGGAAGAAAGAAGUGUAGUGGGUGCAUCCCACCACCUGCAAUUUACAAUGCUGAGCUACAGCCCGCAAGACAGCCCUUAACUGAGGAAGAUGGGGGUGAGCAGAACUGGACAAAGAGUUCUUUUCUCCCAGCAGUGUCCACCUUCUCUGAGUCCAGAUGCUGGAAACCUGUGCUAUCUGGGUAGGAGAGGAGAAGAAACUCCAUCGCUUAUGCGCCCUGCACAAGUUUUCUGUCUUUAUUGGCAUGAGUUGUUCAAGCUUAGAUCCUGAACAAUCUCUGGAACUGAGAAACUGUGUUCAUUAUGGAAGAUAUCUCGCUGCUGAGGGUGAGCAAGGAAUCAAGGGAGGGUCUUCUCCAAGACUGCGGCUUCUGCCCUGGCCCUUAUGCAGCUCACCUGUGUGCAGCAAUGGUCCACCCCCACAGCGACGGCAGAGUGGUGUGGAAAAGUUACCCUUAAUGGGGCAAGAAACAGAGCAGCUCUGCCAAAGAACCUGCGGCAGCGGAUUGCCCAGUAUCUCCAUGAGAGUUUCGUGGAGAUCUCUGAGGCAGAUUCCCGUGAAGUGAGGGAGUCAAUCAACACCCUGUUCCACUGCUUAGACUAGGCAUAUGGUGGUAUGCGCAUCAUAUAGACACAAGCCUGCUUUCUGCAACCCUCCUGCCCGCAACAACUCACUUCAGCGAUUCCCAAAAUCAAAGCCACUUACCAGAGGCCUCCUCUCCUGUUCGUGCUUCACCAAGCUCUGACAGUUGUGACUGGCUAGUCUCCUCUGGGGUAGAGAAGAGCUCCUGGCUUCAUGCAUCUCUGACCUCCGAGUUGUCCUCUGCCUCUGGGUCCUGCUCCACAGCCUUGUUCAAGUUUUUCUCCUCCUGGCUCGGUCCACUCUCAACUGGCAUGCGAGCUCUCCAUAUGUUUUAUGGAAAUAUGCUAAUGAGUGUGAAUAUAAUGUAACUGAAAUGUGCUUCAUGCAAAAGGUCUCUUGUAAGGUAUAAUUACAAAGCUUAUAAUCUACUAAGUGUGGUCAUCCUAUUUGUAUGUAUGUAUCAUUCUUGUGUCUAAAACUAGAAAUAUGAAGUAUAACUCUGAAGUCCUAUUGUAAUUAUGCAAAGUGUGGGCCAUUAAUGGUGGUUUAGAAUCUUGAUGGCUCCCAUUAACUCGGACAGUUGGUUGUAAAUGGCUCUGUUUACUUGCAAGCCUUCCUGCGUUUGUGUGAUUCAGGCCAGGAUGAGUGGAGGCUUGGGGUCUCACAGGACAUGUGACCACGUCACCUGAUACUGGAAUCCAUCUUAAACCUGGUGCUUUUCCAUUGAGAAGGAGGGGAGGGAACCCAGAGAGAGACAAAGGAUUCCCGCCUUGUGCCAAAGAUAUAAAAGGGGGUGGAACAGAACAAAGGGGGCUGCCAGUCAUGAGAAAUCCCCUAGUUACCAUCUGAGCUGGAGCUAACAAGGACUGCACCGGGCAAAGGAUUGGGCCCAGGCUAGGAAGGAGUCUAGUCUGUGAAACAAGCUUAUUGGAACAUCUCUAAGGGUGAGAUUUACCUGUAUUCAGUUUCUUAAUGUAUUGAGCUUAGACUUGCAUGUUUUGUUUUAUUUUGCUUGGUAACUUACUUUGCUUUGUCUGUUAUUACUUGGAACCACUUAAAUCCCACUUUUUAUACUUAAUAAAAUCACUUUUGUUUAUUAAUUAA